GCCAGGGUGGCAUAGUGGUUUGAAUGUUGUACUGUGAUUGUGGAGACCAGGGUUCAAUUUCCAGCUUGGCCA